rnacentral:rRNA from 1 species
UCAGAUGAGUAGGAGGGCGUGGCGGCCGUGNCGAAGCAUGCGUGCAGACGCUUGUGGAACGGCCGCUAGUGCAGAUCUUGGUGGNAGUAGCAAGUAUUCAAGCGAGAUCCUUGAAGGGCGAAGCGGNNAAGGGUUCCACACGAACAUUGAUUGGGCGUGGGUGAGUCGUUCCUAAGCCGAGUGGCAAUUGCUAAGUAUCGGCGAAAGGGAAGCGGGUUGAAAUUCCCGCACACGGAUGUGGAGGCGGUGACGCGUAAUGCGGCGAACACGCUGGCGACGGCGCUGGGCAGAGUUGUCUUUUCUGUUUGACCUUCUCAGCGCGCGGUGUGGAAUCCGCUUGUCGGGAGAAACACGCUCGCAGGGGCAGAGCGCCGGGCCUUUUCCGGCGUCCAGCUCGCCGUCGACGGCCCUUGAAACUUUGCCUGCUGAUUUUCAUUUUUCUUGAAAUAAAAUCCACGCCGUGGCGUACCGAUCACCGCAUCAGGUCCCCAAGGUGAACAGCCUCUGCUCAGUAUGAAUAAUGCAGGUAAGGGAAGUCGGCAAAUUAGACCCGUAACUUUGGGAUAAGGGUUGGCUCUAGUGCUGCGUGGGAGAGGUUGCCCAGUGUCGGCUCUGAUACGGAGACUGGCUGUGCGCGGGGCCCGCAAGGGACCUGUUCGCCGCUGUUUCCUCAUCACUGCCGCGCAGGGCGACGCCCACAGCAUGCAGCAGACUAGAACUGCAACGGGCAAAGGGAAUCCGACUGUUUAAUUAAAACAA